rnacentral:rRNA from 1 species
GCGUGGAGCGCACACAGGAUUAGAUACCCUGGUAGUCCACGCCCUAAACGAUGCUGACUAGUUGUUUGAGAAUUUAUUCUUGAGUAACGUAGCUAACGCGUGAAGUCAGCCGCCUGGGGAGUACGGUCGCAAGAUUAAAACUCAAAGGAAUUGACGGGGACCCGCACAAGCGGUGGAUGAUGUGGAUUAAUUCGAUGCAACGCGAAAAACCUUACCUACCCUUGACAUGCCACUAACGAAGUAGAGAUACAUUAGGUGCCCGUAAGGGAAAGUGGACACAGGUGCUGCAUGGCUGUCGUCAGCUCGUGUCGUGAGAUGUUGGGUUAAGUCCCGCAACGAGCGCAACCCUUGUCUCUAGUUGCUACGCAAGAGCACUCUAGAGAGACUGCCGGUGACAAACCGGAGGAAGGUGGGGAUGACGUCAAGUCCUCAUGGCCCUUAUGGGUAGGGCUUCACACGUCAUACAAUGGUGCGUACAGAGGGUUGCCAACCCGCGAGGGGGAGCUAAUCUCAUAAAACGCAUCGUAGUCCGGAUCGUAGUCUGCAACUCGACUACGUGAAGCUGGAAUCGCUAGUAAUCGCGGAUCAGCAUGUCGCGGUGAAUACGUUCCCGGGUCUUGUACACACCGCCCGUCACACCAUGGGAGUGGGCUUUGCCAGAAGCCAUUAGCCUAACCGCAAGGAGGGCGAU